GAUAAACUAUACGAAUCUGGAGGAAUCCUUCCGAGUUUGGACGGACAGCUGCUGAUUCUUGCAGGGUCUACAGUUGGUGGUGGCUCGGCUGUGAAUUGGUCGGCCUGUAUAAAAACACCGAAAUAUGUUCUUAAAGAAUGGGCUGAGGACUGUAAAAUACCUCUUUUUGGAAGCAAUGAAUAUGUUUCAGCAAUGGAAACUGUUUGUGAAAGAAUUGGUGUCACGCAUGAUUGUAAAGAGGAAGGAUUUCAGAAUCAAGUGCUUCGAAAAGGGUGUGAAAAUCUUGGUCUAAAAGUCGAGAAAGU
rnacentral:lncRNA from 1 species